rnacentral:misc_RNA from 1 species
GAUGAAGAACGUAGCGAAAUGCGAUACGUAAUGUGAAUUGCAGAUUUCAGUGAAACAUCGAAUCUUUGAACGCACAUUGCGCCCGCCAGUAUUCUGGCGGGCAUGCCUGUUCGAGCGUCAUUUCAACCAUCAAGCCUUCGCUUGUGUUGGGGCCCCGCGGCUGCCGCGGUCCCCUAAAUCCAGUGGCGGGCUCGUCGUCGUACCGAGCGCAGUAGACAUCCUCGCUCCGGGAACCCGACGGGUGCCGGCCGUGAAACCCCCCACAUCAAGGUUGACCUCGGAUCAGGUAGGAAUACCCGCUGAACUUAAGCAUAUCAAUAAGCGGAGGA